rnacentral:rRNA from 1 species
GCCGGCGACGGCACCCUAUCGCUGAGAAGUCGAUCAAACUUGGUCAUUUAGAGGAAGUAAAAGUCGUAACAAGGUUUCCGUAGGUGAACCUGCGGAAGGAUCAUUAUUGAAAUUAUAGGUGAGGGUUGUAGCUGGCCUCUCGGGGCAUGUGCACGCCCGAGCCCUUAAUCCACACACACCUGUGAACCUAUUGUAAGGGCCCUUAAAAAAGGCCUUUACGUCUUAUCAUCAACCCAUCGUAUGUCUCAUAGAAUGUAAAUAUAUGUCCUCGCCUUAAAAAGCGUUGAUAAACUUAUACAACUUUCAACAACGGAUCUCUUGGCUCUCGCAUCGAUGAAGAACGCAGCGAAAUGCGAUAAGUAAUGUGAAUUGCAGAUUUUCAGUGAAUCAUCGAAUCUUUGAACGCACCUUGCGCUCCUUGGUAUUCCGAGGAGCAUGCCUGUUUGAGUGUCAUUAAAUUCUCAACUCNGAUCGAUUUGUUUCGACUUCGGAGCUUGGAUUUGGAGCGUGCUGGCGUCGGUCGGCUCCUCUUAAAUGCAUCAGCGGAAUCUAACGUUUCGGANGUCAGUGUGAUAAUCAUGUUGCGCUGUCUGUCUGAUCCGAAAGCCCGCUCACAAUGGUCUUCGGACAACUUCAUAUCAAAUUUGACCUCAAAUCAGGUAGGACUACCCGCUGAACUUAAGCAUAUCAAUAAGCGGAGGAAAAGAAACUAACAAGGAUUCCCCUAGUAACUGCGAGUGAAGCGGGAAAAGCUCAAAUUUAAAAUCUG